AAAAUAAACUUUAUUUUUUAGUAAGAAAGCUAAAAUAAUUCUUUUAGACGAGAAGACCCUGUAAAACUUUAUAUUUCUAAUUUUUAGAAAAAUUGGGAAAUAUUUUACUGGGGCGGUGGGGAAAAAGUCUUUCCUUUAUUUUAAAAUACGUACACGUAUUUAUACCUAGAAAUUCUAAAAAAGAAAUAAGUUACUUUAGGGAUAACAGCUUUAUACACUUUUAAAGAUCUAAUUGACAAGUGUGUUUAUGACCUCGAUGUUGAAUUAAAAUACCUUUUUUAUGCAGUAGUUUUAAAAGGAGGUCUGUUC
rnacentral:rRNA from 1 species